rnacentral:rRNA from 1 species
GACGAACGCUGGCGGCGUGCCUAAUACAUGCAAGUAGAACGCUGAAGAGAGGAGCUUGCUCUUCUUGGAUGAGUUGCGAACGGGUGAGUAACGCGUAGGUAACCUGCCUGGUAGCGGGGGAUAACUAUUGGAAACGAUAGCUAAUACCGCAUAAUAGCAGUUAUUGCAUGAUAACUGUUUAAAAGGUGCAAUUGCAUCACUACCAGAUGGACCUGCGUUGUAUUAGCUAGUUGGUGGGGUAACGGCUCACCAAGGCGACGAUACAUAGCCGACCUGAGAGGGUGAUCGGCCACACUGGGACUGAGACACGGCCCAGACUCCUACGGGAGGCAGCAGUAGGGAAUCUUCGGCAAUGGACGGAAGUCUGACCGAGCAACGCCGCGUGAGUGAAGAAGGUUUUCGGAUCGUAAAGCUCUGUUGUAAGAGAAGAACGAGUGUGAGAGUGGAAAGUUCACACU